CCUUACCAGACCCGCCCUCUGGGUGCUGGGAUGGCUGUAAAGGAGGAGGACCCAGCCAAGCAGCCAGACUCAUCCCAGCUCCGGGAAGGCUGAGUACACUGAAGGAUUCUGCAGGAAAUGACAAGAAGCUGAAGAACUGUUCCGUUGAGGCACACCAACUGCGACAGGCUCCUGGCUGCGCCCACAUAGAAGCCCCAGCACAGGGCAUGCAAAUGCAAACCUCUGCCUUCCAGGAAACUCAGCAAACCUUCUUCCCUGAGCUUAUUUCCUCUCUGCUCCUGGAAGCAGCACUCCUUUCCAUUGGGCAUCUGCACCUUCCUUGCCCUAACCAGAGCACC
rnacentral:lncRNA from 1 species